rnacentral:rRNA from 1 species
UACGUAGGUGGCGAGCGUUGUCCGGAUUUACUGGGCGUAAAGGGCGUGCAGGCGGUUUGUUAAGUGCAGGGUGAAAGCUCCCGGCUCAACUGGGAGGGUGCGCCGGAAACUGGGGGUGCUGGAGCGCGGGAGAGGAGAGCGGAAUUCCUGGUGUAGCGGUGAAAUGCGUAGAUAUCAGGAGGAACACCGGCGGUGUAGACGGCUUUCGUUGGACCGUAGCUGACGCUGAGACACGAAAGCGUGGGUAGCAAACAGG